AUGGCCCAGUCAGGAAUGCAGGCUGGGCUGCGGUUGCUGGAGAUGGGGCAGAGGAGGCCUUUCACGGGCGACGUGGCGAUCGUCCAUGCUGGCGACGCGAGACAAGUGGGAAGGAGAGGAGCGGUCAAUGCGGCUGUGCGACUGCAGCCUCCUCCUCUCGAACAGAGGCAGGAGCGGGACUUGGCGGCGCGAGGCGAUGGGGAUCGGGUCGAGGACGGCGUCGGCGGGGACUGGCCAGAACGGGACUGGGACGACCGGAUCCGACGGAGGGACCGGAUCUGGAGCGAACGGUGGAGGCUUGAGGCGUUGGCGCGGGCAGAGCUCAGCGAGCCCAUGGCGCGGGGGUGCUCCUGUCGUUCCUGCGAAGGAGAGAGAGGGGGCCACCGUGAGAAAGAGAUAGAGGGGAAAACAGGAGGAGAAGAGGGGUUCGGCCUGGUUGGUGCUGUUGCUUGCCGGCGGCAUGCUGGAGAGGAUCUCCGGCGAGGUAGAGGCCCCGGAUGUGACGAAGCAGGGGAACGACACCACGGCGCGGUGGCGGAAGCUCCUGUAGGCAUAGAGACAAGGGAGCUCGGGGUGAGGGAAGAGAGAUGA
rnacentral:rRNA from 1 species